CACGUAGGGCGCAAGCGUUGUCCGGAAUUAUUGGGCGUAAAGAGCUCGUAGGCGGUCUGUUGCGUCCGCUGUGAAAACUCGGGGCUUAACCCCGAGCCUGCAGUGGAUACGGGCAGACUAGAGGUAGGUAGGGGGAGAAUGGAAUUCCCGGUGUAGCGGUGAAAUGCGCAGAUAUCGGGAGGAACACCGGUGGCGAAGGCGGUUCUCUGGGCCUUACCUGACGCUGAGGAGCGAAGGCCAGGGGAGCAAACGGG
rnacentral:rRNA from 1 species